UAAGAGAUCACCAAAAGUGUAUGGUGGAUGCCUUGGCAAAAAACACCGAUGAAGGACGUAGUAGCCUGCGAUAAGCUUCGGGUAGCUGGCAAACAAGCUUUGAUCCGAAGAUGUCCGAAUAGGGCAACCUAACUGCGUAAACCGCAGUUGAUCGUGCUUCGCACCCAAUCUCAAAAUUUAAACCUUCCCGAAAGCUAUCGCUAAAGGGCAGGCAAAUCUCAAAGUGACCCCGAACAAAUUACUUCGCAAUUUUACGGGGUAGACAAUGUAAAAUUUUAAAUUUUGAUUUUGAGUGCGUAGUACGAUUGGGUACCCGCUGAACUGAAACAUCUUAGUAAGCGGAGGAAAAUAAAACAAUAAUCCCGUUUUCGGGAUAGUGUUUCGCGUCUCGACUUCAAAAUGUUAAAUUUCAAUUUUUGAGAUUUGAGAUUUGAAUUUUGAGAUUGCGAAGCAUUGUGAUUCCUUAAGUAGCGGCGAGCGAAAGAGGAAAAGUCUAGUAUUAACGACGAUUGAAAUUAUUAGCAGAAUAAACCUGGAAAGGAUAACCAAAGCGGGUGAUAGUCCCGUAAGCGAAAAUUGUUUCAAUUUAAGUUAAUCCGAUCCCUGAUUUUUAUUGGGGUGGCAAGUACUGUCAGACACGUGAAAUCUGGCAGGAAGAUGGGUGGAUCAUUAUCCAAGACUAAAUAUGUUUUUUGACCGAUAGUGAACUAGUACCGCGAGGGAAAGGUGAAAAGUACCCCUAGCCGGGGAGUGAAAUAGUACCUGAAACCAUACACUGACAAGGAGUCGGAGCGCGUUUUGCUUAGGCGAAGCGUGUCACGGCGUGCCUUUUGCAGAAUGAGCCAACGAGUUGUCAUAUUUUGCGAGCUCAAGCUUUUUUAAGGCUGAGGCGUAGGGAAACCGAGUGUUAAUAGCGCGAUUAGUAAAAUGUGGCAGACCCGAAACCGGGUGAUCUAUCCAUGGUCAGGCUGAACUUCGCCGAAAGGCGGUAGGGAGGGCCGAACACACCAGCGUUGCAAAACUGGGUGAUGAAUUGUGGAUAGUGGUAAAAUGCCUAUCGAACCCGGAGAUAGCUGGUUCUCCUCGAAAUAUAUUUAGGUAUAGCGUUCCACUGCAACCCUGCAGGUAGAGCACUGGUUCGUGUACGGCGGAGAAAUUCGUUGGCACGAGUCAAACUCCGAAUAGCAGGACUCAAAGAGUGGAGCAGUCAGUACGUGAGGGCUAAGCUUCAUGGUACAAAAGGGAAACAGCCCAGAUCGCAAUCUAAGGUCCCAAAAUAAGAUUUAAGUGGGAAAGGAAGUAGUCUACCACAGACAAAUAGGAGGUUGGCUUAGAAGCAGCCAUCCUUUAAAGAAAGCGUAACAGCUCACUAUUCGAUUUUUCUCAACCCGCCUUUGGCGGGAAGAGAGGUAGAUUGCGCCGAAAAUUCAACGGGGCUAAAAUCUUUACCGAAGAUGCGGAUGCCAUUGCUACGCAUUGGAAGCAUCAAAUAACAACAUAUAAAUAACAAACAAAUAUCUAAUUACACGACUUACGUAAAUAUCUUUCCGCGUUGUCAUUGCAAGGCUCCGCCAGCUGGCGGAAACAAAGUAAUCUGGCAAAAUUAUAUGAGAUUGCCACGCCUGUUGGCUCGCAACGACAUAAUACGUAAGUCGUGUAAUUACCAAAAUUCAAAAUGACUGAAGCAUAUAAAUAUUUUUUACUUUAGAAUUUAGGAUUUGUUUGGUUAUUGUUUCUUGAAAUUUGGAAUUUCCAUUGCAUAGCAGUGGCGUGGUAGAGGAGCGUUCUUUAAGCAGCGAAGCUUCACUGUGAAGUGGGGUGGAGUUUAAAGAAGUGCGAAUGUUGGCAUGAGUAACGAAUUAGCCCGGCGAGAAACCGGGCCACCAAAAGUCUAAGGUUUCCCCCGCAACGAUAAUCGACGGGGGGUUAGGCGGGAGCUAAGCUUGCGAAAGCGAUGCACAGCAGGUUGAUAUUCCUGCCCUGCCAUAUUUUUAAGAUAUUAUGACGCAUUUUUAAGCUAUUUUAUUGCUAUGACUAUGUAAUAAAAUGGGGAGAGAGUGACUAGAAAAGUAAUAUCUUGCUAAAUUUAUGGCAUCCGUACCGCAAACCGACGCAGGUAGACGGGUUGAGAAUACUAAGGUGAUCGAGCAAACUCUCGUUAAGGAACUCGGCAAAAAAACGUCCGUAACUUCGGAAUAAGGACUGCCCGCCUCUUCGGCGGGCCGCAGCGAACGUUUUCCGGGCGACUGUUUAUCAAAAACAUAGCUCCAUGCUAACCCGCAAGGGGAUGUAUAUGGGGUGAUGCCUGCCCAGUGCUGGAAGGUCACGAGGAUUAGUGAUACCGUGCUACGCACGGUUGAGCUUUGAAUCUAAGCCCCAGUGAACGGCAGCGGUAACUAUUAAAUAACGGUUAGUAGUUAUAAAAUCUGGCCAAAUGCUGGAAACUCUUGUCAGGUUAUUGGUAGGAUUAGAAAAUUAUCUAAACCUAACAAUCCAAUAAAUAGAGACAAUCAGCAGGAAAGAUUUCAUAAAAGGAGAAAAAUGGAUAAUAAUAUUCAAAAAAUUCCCGAGAGAAUCGGAUGGUAUUUUGCGGAAUUUGUUGAUGGUGAAGGUAGUUUUAAUGUUUCACUUAGAAAAAAGCCUGAUUAUACAAUGCAUUGGCAAAUAUGCCCAAGCUUUAAUAUUUCACAGAAAAACAGAGCAAUUCUUGCCUUAUUUAAACACCAUUUAAAUGUGGGUAUAUUAAGCGGAGAGCAGAUGGAUUGUAUGCAUACGAAUAGUGAAUCACAAAAUGCUAAGUGGUAUCAUUAUCCCAUUUUUUAAUAAAUUUAAUUUUUUAUCUCCAAAUCAAAAAAGAAACUUUUCAAUAUUUAAGGAAAUAAUUAGGUUAAUGGACACAGGGAUUCAUCUGAGUGAAGAAGGAUUCAAUAAGAUUAUUGACCCCAGAGAAAUUCUAAACAAAGGUAAAGGUAGAAAACGAAAAUAUGAAAAGGAUAAUUUAAAUUAUGAAAAAUCCCCAGAGACUAUACGCCAGAAUCGCCAAUAAGGCGAUAUGAUAUAGUCCGAUCUUUAUGGAGACAUAAAGCUAACAUAAAUGAACCGUUCUAUGGUAGCGAAAUUCCUUGGCGUGUAAGUUACGUCCCGCACGAAUGGCAUAACGGUCUGGAAACUGUCUCAACGAGAGGCUCGGUGAAAUUACACUGCCGGUAAAGAUGCCGGUUACCCGCGGCAAGACGAAAAGACCCCGUGGAGCUUCACUACAGCUUGGCAUUGGUUUGCUUUGCUAAAUGUUUAGUCAUAGGUGGGAGGGUGUGUGUAGCACUUGUGCUAUACGUAUUCAACAAUGAAAGACCACCCUUGUAGCGUAGCAAAUCUAACCCUCGUUAAAACGAGGAGACAGUGUUUGGCAGGUAGUUUAUCUGGGGCGGAUGACUCCUAAAGAGUAACGGAGUCGCUCAAAGGUUGGCUAGUCCCGUAUGGAAAUCGGGAUGAUAGUGUAAAGGCAAAUGCCAGCUUGACUGCAAGACCUACAAGUCGAGCAGCUGCGAAAGCAGGACUUAGUGAUCCUCUAUCUUUGAAUGACAGAGAUAGAGCUCAACGGAUAAAAGCUACCCCGGGGAUAACAGGCUGAUCGCGCCCAAUAGCUCACAUAGACGGCGCGGUUUGGCACCUCGAUGUCGGCUCAACGCAUCCUGGGGGUGGAGCAGCUCCCAAGGGUUUGGCUGUUCGCCAAUUAAAGCGUUACGCGAGCUGGGUUCAGAACGUCGCAAGACAGUUCGGUCUUAAUCUGCCGUGGGCGAUCAAAACUUGAGGGAAAUUCUCCUUAGUACGAGAGGACCAGGAGGAACAAGCCUCUGGUGUACCAGUUGUGCCAUCAGGCGCAUCGCUGGGUAGCUAUGCUUGUAUGGAUAACCGCUGAAAGCAUAUAAGCGGGAAGCCAUGCCCAAGAUUAGGUUUUGUUUGAGAUCCCCCAAAGACGAUGGGGUUGAUAGGUUAGCGGUCUAAGUCCCGUAAGGGAUUCAGCCGUCUGAUACUAAUCGAUCGAAGAUUUUUUAUU
rfam:Candidatus Berkelbacteria bacterium CG2_30_39_44 cg2_3.0_scaffold_264_c, whole genome shotgun sequence.